rnacentral:rRNA from 1 species
UACGUAGGGUGCAAGCGUUAAUCGGAAUGACUGGGCGUAAAGGGUGCGCAGGCGGUCUGCUAAGACAGAGGUGAAAUCCCCGGGCUUAACCUGGGAAUGGCCUAUGUGACUGGCAGGCUAGAGGAUGGCAGAGGGAGGCGGAAUGCCACGUGUAGCAGUGAGAUGCGUAGAGAUGUGGCGGAACACCGAUGGCGAAGGCAGCCUCCUGGGCCAAUCCUGACGCUCAGGCACGAAAGCGUGGGGAGCAAACGGG